rnacentral:rRNA from 1 species
CUGAAAUCAGGUAGGAUUACCCGCUGAACUUAAGCAUAUCA